rnacentral:lncRNA from 1 species
UGUCAAUUCACGCAUAUAAAUAUAUUUAAAAUGUGUAAGUCGCAUGUAGCACGUCAUGAUUCAAAAAAUACCUUCUGCAUGUACGUGAGUGCGUGCAAGAAGGCUAGUCCAAAUAAAGUAAGGAAUUGCAGGCUUGCAGCUAGGGAUUAAAACUUUUAUUAAAGACCACUUUCAAUUGCAUGGAAGAUUGUCAAAGAACUGUUCCUAACCAAGGGAAAUUCUUGCCAUCACUUUUCUCUACUCAAUUCCCUUGUGCAGUUUGUCAAUGUCUUUUAACAAUUUUGUUAUGUACUUUAAUUCCAUGUCUAGCUAAACCUAUUAUCCUAAGGUUAGGAUGAAACACUUGAUUUAUUCUCAAUUUCAAUGUGAACUUGAUGUAACUUUCAUAUUUGUGUUCUUGAAUCUCUAAACGUAAUUUUUCAUUGAUUAGUUAUAGUUUGAUGCUUAGCUACCAUUAUUCCAUGGAUAUAGUGUGUUUGUUUGUGUUGAGAGACCAUCUUGACUUACAUGUUAGCACAACAAUUUAGAAAUUGCAUAUGCAUUUGAGCUAGACCUAGACUUGUACAGUGUAUUUUUAUCAUUUCCAAAGAGCUUAACGAUUGUUGUACGUUAAAUUAGACCUUGACCACAUGCUAGUUGCAUAUGAAAAUACUUGACUUUUGCCAUGACCAUUGAGAGAAAUCAUGUUUAAGGGAAACAAUUGAAUAUUGAGUAGGAACAAGACCUUUCUGUAGGUAAACUUCAAGAAUUAAAUUUGAAAUUGUAUGAACGGUGCAUUGAUUUGAGAAACGUAUGACUGAUUGUGGAUUCCGAAACCUUAGGUUCACCAUCCAUAGAGUACAACCUUAAUUUGUUAAAAUAAUUUGUUCAUUGUCGUGUUUUAUUAUUUCUUUCCUUUACUAUUCUUUUUCGUUGGCUUUUCUUAUUUGCUUAUCAAUCAACCAAAUCGUCGUUUUUAUUUGAUUGCUUUAGUGUUUAGUUGAGUCAUAAAAAGAAAAUAAAAUAAAAAGAGUCAUUAUUUGUGUUGAUGCACAAAACUGGGAGGUUUUGGGACAACGUAAAUCCGACCGUGAAUCUACAAGGAAGUAAAGAACACAAGAUGUAUCGUGGUUCACCUCAAUGUUUGUGCUCCGUCCACACUAAUGUUGAUUGUAUUUCUCUGUAUGAAUGUAUGGAUUACAAG